GAAUAAAUACAAAUCACGUUUUUUAUCCAUUGAUAUUAUUAAAUCUAAUUUACCAUUAAUUGUGCAAAUAGCUCUA
rnacentral:tRNA from 1 species